GAUGAACGCUAGCUACAGGCUUAACACAUGCAAGUCGAGGGGAAACGACAUCGAAAGCUUGCUUUUGGUGGGCGUCGACCGGUGCACGGGUGAGUAACGCGUAUCCAACCUGCCCACCACUUGGGGAUAACCUUGCGAAAGUAAGACUAAUACCCAAUGAUAUCCCACGAAGGCAUCCGAAUGGGAUUAAAGAUUUAUCGGUGAUGGAUGGGGAUGCGUCUGAUUAGCUUGUUGGCGGGGUAACGGCCCACCAAGGCUACGAUCAGUAGGGGUUCUGAGAGGAAGGUCCCCCCACAUUGGAACUGAGACACGGUCCAAACUCCUACGGGAGGCAGCAGUGAGGAAUAUUGGUCAAUGGGCGAGAGCCUGGAACCAGCCAAGUAGCGUGCAGGAUGACGGCCCUAUGGGUUGUAAACUGCUUUUAUAAGGGAAUAAAGUGGGUCUCGUGAGACUUUUUGCAUGUACCUUAUGAAUAAGGACCGGCUAAUUCCGUG
rnacentral:rRNA from 1 species